AGGAUGCUUUCUGGUCGGUGAUGGUUCUGAUGGAUCGUUUUCUUCUCUGCCCUACAUCUUCAGGCAGUCGAGGUACAAGGAUUAAUGUGUGGGAGGGUUUGAAGAGAGAAACAUCAGGAUUCUUGGUUACAAGGAUGGUGACUGUUGAUCUUGACCACACUAGAGGUUCACGU